rnacentral:pre_miRNA from 1 species
GAUUUCAAAUGGAAAUAUGGUCAAAAACAAAGUUGAUCCUCUCAUCAGGAUCUACAACUUUUAUUUUGGUCACUUCUUCAUCCGACAAAGUGAUAGUUAUUUAUUCACAAAAAUCACAUUUCUCUCAUCCAGUUUAUAAACAUCAACACAUAUAUGUCAAUUUUGUAAACAUUGGUAUUAUCACUUUGUCGGAUGAAGAAGUGACCAAAAUAAAAGUUGUAGAUCUUGAUGAGAGGAUCAACUUUGUUGUUGACCAUAUUUCCAUUUGAAAUC